rnacentral:tRNA from 1 species
UCCUCAAUAGCUCAAUGGUAGAGCAUUCGGCUGUUAACCGACGUACAUAGGUUCGAUUCCUAUUUGAGGAG